rnacentral:lncRNA from 1 species
AUGCAAUUUGAGACUUACCCUCCUUAUCCAGACCCAGAUAAUCACGAUGGUGUAAUCACUCAUCUAGAGCCAGACAUCCUGGAAUGUGAAGUCAAGUGGGCCUUAGAAAGCAUCACCACGAACAAAGCUAGUGGAGGUGAUGGAACUCCAGUUGAGCUAUUUCAAAUCCUGAAAGAUGAUGCUGUGAAAGUGCUGCACUCAAUAUGCCAGCAAAUUUGGAAAACUCAGCAGUGGCCACAGGACUGGAAAAGGUCAGUUUUCAUUCCAAUCCCAAAGAAAGGCAAUGCCAAAGAAUGCUCAAACUACCUCAUUUCACAUGCUAGUAAAGUAAUGCUCAAAAUUCUCCAAGCCAGGCUUCAGCAAUACAUGAACCAUGAACUUCCUGAUGUUCAAGCUGAUUUUAGAAAAGGCAGAGGAACCAGAGAUCAAAUUGUCAACAUCCACUGGAUCAUGGAAAAAGCAAGAGUUCCAGAAAAAAACAUCUAUUUCUGCUUUAUUGACUAUGCCAAAGCCUUUGACUGUGUGGAUCACAAUAAACUGUGGAAAAUUCUGAAAGACAUGGGAAUACCAGACCACCUGACCUGCCUCUUGAGAAAUCUGUAUGCAGGUCAGGAAGCAACAGUUAGAACUGGACAUGGAACAACAGACUGGUUUCAAAUAGGAGAAGGAGUAUGUCAAGGCUCUAUAUUGUCACCCUGCUUAUUUAACUUCUAUGCAGAAUACAUCAUGAGAAAUGCUGGACUGGAAGAAACACAAGCUGGAAUCAAGAUUGCCAGGAGAAAUAUCAAUAACCUCAGAUAUUCAGAUGACACCACCCUUAUGGCAGAAAGUGAAGAGGAACUAAAAAGCCUCUUGAUGAAAGUGAAAGAGGAGAGUGAAAAAGUUGGCUUAAAGCUCAACAUUCAGAAAACGAAGAUCAUGGCAUCCGGUCCCAUCACUUCAUGGGAAAUAAAUGGGGAAACAGCGGAAAUAGUGUCAGACUUUAUUUUGGGGGGCUCCAAAAUCACUGCAGAUGGUGAUUGCAGCCAUGAAAUUAAAAGAUGCUUACUCCUUGGAAGAAAAGUUAUGACCAACCUAGACAGCAUAUUCAAAAGCAGAGACAUUACUUUGCCAAUUAAAGUCCGUCCAGUCAAGGCUAUGGUUUUUCCAGUGGUCAUGUAUGGAUGUGAGAGUUGGACUGUGAAGAAGGCUGAGCGCCAAAAAAUUGAUACUUUUGAACUGUGGUGUUGGAGAAGACUCUUGAGAGUCCCUUGGACUGCAAGGAGAUCCAGCCAGUCCAUUCUGAAGGAGAUCAGCCCUGGGAUUUCUUUGGAAGGAAUGAUGCUAAAGCUGAAGCUCCAGUACUUUGGCCACCUCAUGCAAAGAGUUGACUCACUGGAAAAGACUCUGAUGCUGGGAGGGAUUGCGGACAGGAGGAGAAGGGGAUGA